CUUCCCGGAAGUCCCUGUUGCUUAGCAACCGAAGUAACUUGCAAGGCCGAAGGGCAAGGGGAUUGUGCAUCACCGACAUUCCCAGCGGCUUGGGGAACCGGGAAACUUUAGUCCCCCACCGGCCCAAUUACGUUGCUGCUGGGAUCUCCACCGUGCCCAGCAAUGGUUGUCAGUAAGCAGGCGGCACUCCUUUCCAAAACAUCUUUUAUUUUUUGAGACGGAGUCUCACGCCGGGUUCAAGCGAUUCUUCCACUUCAGCCUCCUGAAUAGCUGGGGCUACAGGUGCAUGCCACUGCGCCCGGCUUUUUUUGUAUUUUUAGUAGAGACAGGGUUUUGCCAUGUUGGCCAGGCUGGUCUUGAACUCCUGACCUCAGGUGAUUCACCCGCCUCAGCCUCCCAGAGUGCUGGGAUGAUAGGCGUUAACCAUCAUGCCCAGCCCCCUUCCAACUUUCUUAAUGGGGAAAGCUGCUACCAUUUCUUGAGCACCUGUGAGUAACACCCCCCCAGGGGCACUGAGGAAGGAGAACUGUGCAGACCCCAUGCACAAUUAGUGCCUGAAGUAUAACUCACUGCUUAUAUCUAGCUUACAUACAUAUAUAAUCAUAUGAGUGUUCUGCCUGCUUCCGGACGAGCAAGAAGACUUGUGCUGCGGUUCUCAGACUUCCCCAGCAGCAUGGCCCCCAAAUGCCAGUCUCCACUCCCGCCUCAAAAGAAGAAACCAAGACUACCUCCUGCUCAGGGACUGGAGGAGACAUCAGCUUCUGCAGGCUUGCGGAAGAAGAGAGAAAAAGAACAGCAAGAAGCAAUUGAACACAUUGAUGAAGUACACAAUGAAACAGACAGACUUAAGGAACAAGCCAGGGAGGAGAUUUUGAAAGUAGAACAAAAAUGUAACAAACUCCGCCAACCAUUUCUUCAGAAGAGGUCAGAAUUGAUCGCCAAAAUCCCAAAUUUUUGGGUAAUAACAUUUGUCAACCAUCCACAAGUGUCUGCACUGCUUGGGGAGGAGGACGAAGAGGCACGGCAUUAUUUGACCGGAGUUGAAGUGACAGAAUUUGAAGAUAUUAAAUCAGGUUACAGAAUAGAUUUUUAUUUUUGAUGAAAAUCCUUAAUUUAAAAAUAAAAUUCUCUCCAAAGAAUUUCAUCUGAAUGAGAGUGGUGAUCCAUCUUCAAAGUCCACCGAAAUCAAAUGGAAAUCUGGAAAGGAUUUGACGAAACGUUCAAGUCAAACGCAGAAUAAAGCCAGCAGGAAGAGGCAGUAUGAGGAGCCAGAGAGCUUCUUUACCUGGUUUACUGACCAUUCUGAUGCAGGUGCUGAUGAAUUAGGAGAGGUCAUCAAAGAUGAUAUUUGGCCAAACCCAUUACAGUACUACUUGGUUCCUGAUAUGGAUGAUGAAGGAGAAAGAUGAUGAUGAUAAUGAUGAAGAGGAGGAGGAGGAAGGAUUAGAAGAUAUUGAUGAAGAAGGGGAUGAGGAUGAAGGGUGAAGAUGAUGAUGAUGAUGAAGGGGAGGAAGGAGGGGAGGAUGAAGGAGAAGUUGACUAAUAGAACACUGAUGGAUUCCAACCUUCCUUUUUUAAAAUUUUCUCCAGUCCCUGAGAGCAAGUUGCAGUCUUUUUUUUUUUUCUUCCCUCUUGUGCUCAGUCACCCUGUUUUUGAGGUCUCUUUUCUCUACACCGUGGUUCUCAACUUAUUUGGGGGGAAAUAUCUUGAGCAGGAUACAAUGGGAAAAGAGUCUCUACCCCUUUCUGUUUGAAAUUCAUUUUUAUCCCUUCCUGUCUCAACAAAAACUAUGGAAUCAACACCACCAAGCUCUGUGGGAAAAAAGAAAAACCUGUUCCCUUCACUCAGCUGGAACCUGGAGGGUGCUCGGCCCUGGUAUAGUAGUGCAUAGAAUUCUAGCUUUCUUCCUCCUUUCUCUGUAUAUUGGGCUCAGAGAGUACACUGUCUCUAUGUGAAUAUGGACAGUUAGCAUUUACCAACAUGUAGCUGUCUACUUUCUCUUUUUUAAAAAAAGAAAAAAAAACUUUAAAAAAAUGGGGUUAUAGGAGGUCAACAAAGGGUGGGUUUGAGAUGUUUGGGUGGGUUAAGUGGGCAUUUUGACAACAUGGCUUCUCCUUUGGCAUGUUUAAUUGUGACAUUUGACAGGCAGCCUUGCAGUUUAAGAUGACACUUUAAAAAUAAAUUCUCUCCUAAUGAUGACUUGAGCCCUGCCACUCAAUGGGAGAAUCAGCAGAACCUGUAGGAUCUUAUUUGGAAUUGACAUUCUUUAUUGUAAUUUUGUUCCUGUUUAUUUUUAAAUUUUCUUUUUGUUUCAUUGGAAAGGAAAGAUGAUGCUCAGUUUUAAAACGUUAAAAGUGUACACAAGUUGCUUUGUUACAAUAAAACUAAAUGUGUACACACACACACACUACAUAUAUAUAUAUAAUCAUACUUAGUUCCAUAUAAUCUUUCUAUGUAAUCAUAUAGGUACUAUAGUCGGAGCUGUACCGACACAUUUAGUGCUGAUUUAUAUAAUCCUUCUAUAUAACCAUAUAGUAGUUUGUAGUAGGAGGAAUGCCUAGAGCAGUCACAGAACAGAAGGCCUGAGAUCCUGCAAAUAACUGAGGGAACCCUUCUGGUGUGACCACUCAUGGCGGCUGUACACCGUCAGUCUUUUCUCAAUUCUCUGCUAGCUCAUAUCAUCCUCCCACAAAUAUCUUAAGAACACAAGUCUGUCAGCUCCCACUGCAUUGGCUUAGAGCAUCCUUCUAUUAGAAAUCCUUUGAAGUCUCCAGCCCCCAGAUAAAAACAGGUGUUGUGCAUGACACAUGUUGCACACAGCCCACCUCCUUGUCUCGGUGACCUAAUAGGGGUGGACCCCCUUUCUGUACACGACCCUCUACUACUGCACACAGCACGGCCCCCUACUGCACAUGGCCCACCUCUCUGCCCAGGUAACAUAACGGGGUGGCCCCCUCACUUGUGUCUCACGUGAUUAUGUAUGCCCUAUCACUAAGCCUAUAGAUGAUAACCUCACUUACUACCCUUCCCCCUGCCUGUACCUAAUGAAUAGAUGCUUCUGCAUGUUCGGGGCCUUGCCUGUCUCCCCUCAGGUGGCGUGGCCCCCCCAAGUCCAGAUGCCCUUCACCAGUUCUUCAGUGUCCUGUCUAUUUCUUGGAUCCUGCACUUCAGCACAGCAUAAGGGACACCCCACAACCCUGUGGGGCCAACAGCCCUACAAGCACCUAUGUGUCAGGCUCCAUCAGGCACCUCACAGUCUAACCUGAUAAUUACACAACCCAUCUCACUGAUAAGGAAGCUAGGCUCGGAGGGGCUAAACCCCCAACCUGAGGGAGGUGAUGCAGGGACACACAAUUAGAACCCUGCUUUGCUGAAGGACAGGUAUGCAGCCUACCAGUCCCCAACCCAGGAGGCUGGAGAAGGAACAGCAGCAAUUUACACCUUUACCCAUAGUUCUUUUUAUUGACCAUAAUGACUUAGGAACUAGUACUUACAUAAUCUCAAGUCCCUGAGGGAACAGAGAUCCCACCAUGCAAAAUAGCAAACAGACCCAAGACUUGGGGAGAGGCAGCGAGUGCAUCAGAAAUGGAUGGGUACAUCUUAUUCCCACACUCAGGGGGCUCAGCUUAGUUAGCAGGAGACCUUCAGAUUGAGAAAAAAUGCAAGUCUUUUUUUGGCCUCUGGUAUCUGGGAAGGAUGGAGGGAGCACAGGAGGCACAGAAAAGGUGUGUGAAUCCUGUCCGGCCUGGACGAGGCUGGAGUUGUGCUGCUGAAGAGCUCCAAGCACUGCUCAGAGUGUCAGUCCCCGCUGCUGGAACAGACGUUUUAGAGCCUCUUCCAGUUGCUGGUUUGUUCCCUGAAGCCCCUUCACCACCUGCGCUGCCCACUCAAAGUAUUCCUGGACUCGCUGUUCUGACCAUCCUGCAUAAGAAUCGGCAGAAACCUGCUAGCCUGAUGUCAAAGACAGCACUGCCUUUUGCCUGCUUCCUGGCAAGCUUGGUUCAAGGCCAUGAGUUCCUGAUGGGAUGAGCUGUCCCAAAAACUUGCCUGUGGCUCAGCUAUUGUAUUUUGACCAUAGGAAGGCAGAUCAAGAGUG